rnacentral:rRNA from 1 species
GGAUUAAAGGUGGCUUUUGGGCUGUCGCAGAUGGAUGAGCCUGCGUUGGAUUAGCUAGUUGGUGAGGUAAGGGCCUACCAAGGCUACGAUCCAUAGCUGAUUUGAGAGGAUGAUCAGCCACAUUGGGACUGAGACACGGCCCAAACUCCUACGGGAGGCAGCAGUGAGGAAUAUUGGACAAUGGGGGCAACCCUGAUCCAGCAAUGCCAUGUGUGUGAAGAAGGCCUUAGGGUUGUAAAGCACUUUAGUUGGGGAAGAAAGCUUUGAGGUUAAUAGCCUUGAGGAAAAGGACGUUACCCAAAGAAUAAGCACCGGCUAACUCCGUGCCAGCAGCCGCGGUAAUACGGGGGGUGCAAGCGUUAAUCGGAAUUACUGGGCGUAAAGGGUCUGUAGGUGGUUUGUUAAGUCAGAUGUGAAAGCCUAGGGCUCAACCUUGGAACUGCAUUUGAUACUGGUAAACUAGAGUACGGUAGAGGAAUGGGGAAUUUCUGGUGUAGCGGUGAAAUGCGUAGAGAUCAGAAGGAACACCAAUGGCGAAGGCAACAUUCUGGACCGAUACUGACACUGAGGGACGAAAGCGUGGGGAUCAAACAGGAUUAGAUACCCUGGUAGUCCACGCUGUAAACGAUGAGUACUAGCUGUUGGAGUCGGUGUAAAGGCUCUAGUGGCGCAGCUAACGCGAUAAGUACUCCGCCUGGGGACUACGGCCGCAAGGCUAAAACUCAAAGGAAUUGACGGGGACCCGCACAAGCGGUGGAGCAUGUGGUUUAAUUCGAUGCAACGCGAAGAACCUUACCUGGUCUUGACAUCCUGCGAUCUUUCUAGAGAUAGAUUGGUGCCUUCGGGAACGCAGUGACAGGUGCUGCACGGCUGUCGUCAGCUCGUGUUGUGAAAUGUUGGGUUAAGUCCCGCAACGAGCGCAACCCCUAUUGAUAGUUACCAUCAUUAAGUUGGGUACUCUAUUGAGACUGCCGCUGACAAGGCGGAGGAAGGUGGGGACGACGUCAAGUCAUCAUGGCCUUUACGACCAGGGCUACACACGUGCUACAUGGGUAUUACA